GUUAAUGGCAGGGUGCAAAUAAUUCAUUCCCCGGAGGUUAGGGUGCAACUGUUUAAAAAAAAAAAAAAGGAUUGGUAAAGGUUUGAGUUUUUUUUGGCGAUUUUCCCUUUCACAAUAUCUUUGUACAGUAACACUAAGUAUAACAGUCAGAUGCAUGAACAGUAAACAGAUUCAAGACAUUCUGUUCGCUAGAAGCUAAGAAGGGAGAGAUAAAGAGGGACAAAGGGCAGGAUUGAGACAAAGGCAAAAGAAUGAAUUUUACCAAUGUACUGACCAUAUGGUUCAUUUGGUCAUACUUUUGCUCAUGGAUUGGUUUUGUUUGAAACUCCACCAGAGUCUAUACAUGUUUUUAUUGAUAUUAACAGGAUUAGGGUGGGAUUUAGCAGGUAGUUUUUGUUCUGCUUUUGUUAUUUUCCAAUUAAGGAAAAAAAAGUCAUAAAAAUAAAGAGCACAUAACCAAUAUGAUCCAAAUAGGUUUAUCAUAACAAUAGAAGUAAUGUCACAAUCAUUUUGACACAGGUCGAUAAAAAUGAGACAAGAAUAUCUGCUUGGCAUGAAUUUAAACUACAAAAACUUGUGCGAU
rnacentral:misc_RNA from 1 species